AGCCGUGGCUCAGUGGUAAAGAACCUGCUUGGCAUGCAAAAGGUCCUAGGUUCAAUUCCUAGCAUCGCUA
rnacentral:tRNA from 1 species